rnacentral:tRNA from 1 species
CGGCGGGUGGUGGAAAUGGUCAGACACGCGAGAUGUAUAACGUCGCCGAUAACUUGUCCGUGCAAACGGGCUGAUGGCUGACGGUUAUCGUGGGAUUUCGUGGCGAAAAGCUGUGCGGGUUCAACUCCCGCCCCGCCGG